rnacentral:tRNA from 1 species
UCCCUGGUGGCUCAGAGGAUAAAGCGUCUGCCUGCAAUGCAGGAAAACCGGGUUAAAUCCCUGGGUUGGGAA